rnacentral:rRNA from 1 species
AUGAACGCUAGCGGCAGGCCUAACACAUGCAAGUCGAGGGGCAGCACAGGUAGCAAUACUGGGUGGCGACCGGCGGAUGGGUGCGUAACGCGUAUGCAACCUACCAUUGAUUGGGGCAUAGCCCGAAGAAAUUCGGAUUAAUACUCCAUAAUAUUCAUCAAAGGCAUCUUUUAUGAAUUAAAGCUUUUGCGAUCAAUGAUGGGCAUGCGUGACAUUAGUUAGUUGGUGAGGUAACGGCUCACCAAAACGAUGAUGUUUAGGGGUCCUGAGAGGGUGGUCCCCCACACUGGUACUGAGACACGGACCAGACUCCUACGGGAGGCAGCAGUGAGGAAUAUUGGUCAAUGGGCGCAAGCCUGAACCAGCCAUCCCGCGUGCAGGAAGACGGCCCUAUGGGUUGUAAACUGCUUUUCCAGGGAGAGAAACUUACGCACGUGUUGCGUGACUGACGGUACCCUGGGAAUAAGCAUCGGCUAACUCCGUG